CCUACGGGAGGCUGCAGUGAGGAAUAUUGGUCAAUGGACGAGAGUCUGAACCAGCCAAGUAGCGUGAAGGAUGACUGCCCUAUGGGUUGUAAACUUCUUUUAUAUGGGAAUAAAAUGUUCCACGUGUGGGAUUUUGUAUGUACCAUAUGAAUAGGGAUCGGCUAACUCCGUGCCAGCAGCCGCGGUAAUACGGAGGAUCCGAGCGUUAUCCGGAUUUAUUGGGUUUAAAGGGAGCGUAGGUGGAUUGUUAAGUCAGUUGUGAAAGUUUGCGGCUCAACCGUAAAAUUGCAGUUGAAACUGGCAGUCUUGAGUACAGUAGAGGUGGGCGGAAUUCGUGGUGUAGCGGUGAAAUGCUUAGAUAUCACGAAGAACUCCGAUUGCGAAGGCAGUUCACUGGACUGCAACUGACACUGAGACUCGAAAGUGUGGGUAUCAAACAGGAUUAGAUACCCUUGUAGUC
rnacentral:rRNA from 1 species